rnacentral:rRNA from 1 species
UACGAAGGGGGCUAGCGUUGUUCGGAAUUACUGGGCGUAAAGGGCGCGUAGGCGGUCCUGAUCGUCGGAUGUGAAAGGCCUGGGCUCAACCUGGGAAUGGCAUCCGAUACGGCGGGACUGGAGUGUGGGAGAGGUUGGUGGAAUUCCCAGUGUAGAGGUGAAAUUCGUAGAUAUUGGGAAGAACACCGGUGGCGAAGGCAGCUCGCUGGGACGUGACUGACGCUGAGACGCGAAAGCGUGGGGAGCAAACAGG